GUUCCAUGCGAGGAGCGCUCCGCAAACAGACACUGCAGUUGUAGAAAAACCUGUAAAGGAUCGACGUUUGGGUACGGCUUACUGGACCGGAAGUCGUGCACCUGUCACUGCAUAAUUGGCAUGGGGGAGAAUUGUGACGAGGAGUGUGACAACCCCCGGAGCAAUGACGUCAUCUGGGAAACGACGACGGCUGACGGCACCGUCACGUCUGAC